UACGUAGGGUGCGAGCGUUAAUCGGAAUUACUGGGCGUAAAGCGUGCGCAGGCGGUUUUGUAAGCCAGAUGUGAAAUCCCCCGGGCUUAACCUGGGAAUGGCAUUUGGGACUGCAAGGCUUGAGUGCGGCAGAGGAGACUGGAAUUCCUGGUGUAGCAGUGAAAUGCGUAGAUAUCAGGAGGACACCGAUGGCGAAGGCAGGUCUCUGGGCUGACACUGACGCUCAUGCACGAAAGCGUGGGGAGCAAACAGG
rnacentral:rRNA from 1 species